CCUGGUGGCUCAGAGGUUAAAGCGUCUGCCUCCAACGCGGGAGACCUGGGUUCAAUCCCUGGGUCAGGA
rnacentral:tRNA from 1 species